UACGUAGGUGGCAAGCGUUGUCCGGAAUUAUUGGGCGUAAAGCGCGCGCAGGCGGUCCUUUAAGUCUGAUGUGAAAUCUUGCGGCUUAACCGCAAGCGGUCAUUGGAAACUGAAGGACUUGAGUACAGAAGAGGAAUGUGGAAUUCCAUGUGUAGCGGUGAAAUGCGUAGAGAUAUGGAGGAACACCAGUGGCGAAGGCGACUUUCUGGUCUGUAACUGACGCUGAGGCGCGAAAGUGUGGGGAGCAAACAGG
rnacentral:rRNA from 1 species